AUGCAAUCCCACAAAGUCAAGACCUGCUCCUGCUUCCAACGCUGCUUGUGGCUGUCACAAUGUCUUCCCUUGAACGAAGACUUCCAUGCCACAACCGAAAGCAAAACACAAAGUCACAAAUGGCUGCUGCAUUUCCUUGUAGCAUUCACAAAGUUACACUUACAAAUUGUUGCCAACUCAUAAAUAUAUGAGCCAAACACAACAAAAGCUUCAAUCCUGAAUGCCAGUAUUCUGUUUGGUUCCCAAGAAAGUGACGGGAAAUAAAUCAAUGUGCUUAAAUAUCGUCUCGUUGUUGAUGAAAGCGUGGAGGUCCGUACGGUUCGGAGGUGACUAGGGGCCAGGACCUCACUGGCAAGGGCUUUAGCGGCAAGACCUUGAUCAAGCAAGACUUCAAAACGAUCCAAAAUCAAUCGAUUUUGUGAAAUGCUGAGUGUUUGAUGUUUAUUGCAUUCGAAGAUUUUGAAUUUUUGUGUGUUGAUUUUGUUGCAGUCGAUAUUGAGGCAAGCGAAUUUCAAAGGCGCCAAGUUAUUAGGUGCUAGCUUCUUUGAUGCUGAUUUAACAGAUCUAAGAGCUGUGGACUUUUCCUUGGCCAAUGUGACAAAGGCAAAUCUGAGCAACGCUAGCUUGGAAGGUGCAGUUGCCACAGGCAACACAUAUUUCAAAGGGUGAAAUAAAUGUCACGGGUGCAGGGUGAAUCCGACAACUGGAAAUCCAAUACGCAAAACCUUGCUCUGCAAUUAAUAGAUGUAUACAUGUAUGGUAUGUAAGUAAUUGUCCCUUCCAUUUUUUCAGAUGUAUACAUGAGCGCCCACAACUAGUUCCAGCCAGGUACAAUCUAAAAUAAACACUUGUAUCGUUUCUUUUUCUGUACGUUUUACCUGGUAUUGCCUAUUACAUUCACUGAAAUUUCGGUUGUGUGUUAAUGACCAUUGUCGGAGGCUUAGGUGAUCAGUCCGCUGAACUCUUAUCUGUUCAUUGUUUCUCCAGACUCCAUGGACAAGUAGACCAUUAUUGGCCUCAGCUUUCACCAGGUAUUACGUCUUAAUUUAUCGCUUAAUUUGUUCAAUGAGAUCAUCAUAUUAUGCUUUUGCGUCUUAACUCAUCGUUUUUAUCCAAAUAGAUUAGCUCCACUGAGAGAUUAGCAAAUAGCAAACCACAUUAAACAUGUUAACCCAAUGUGCUUAGUGUAGUGAUGAUAUUCGACUGAUCCACAACGUUUGAUC